rnacentral:lncRNA from 1 species
UCCUCAGAGUCCUCUGUAAAAGUGAAAUGGCAGAGCAAGAACAAGCGGCAGUGGCCCAUAGACUGUGCACUCGUGCCUGGCGUUAGGAGGACCAUCUCCUGCCAUAGGAAAUUGGAAAUUUCCUUAUCUUCUGAUCUUCCAGCUGAGGACAUGGGGCUCUGAGGGCUCCAGGCCUUGCCCGGUCACGCAGCCGAUGGGAAACUCCAUAUCUGACCAUCUCACUCCUUUGGAAUGCAUUCUUAAAUAUUGGAAAAUGUUUGAAAGAGAAGUUUAGUAUUUUCUACACCCAUACAUGCCUGCCUACCCCCUAGAGCCACUAUUGAUUAUGAUGG